ACAGAGGACUUCUUAAAGUCCAUUUAUUGAAAUUAUUAAAAAUAGU
rfam:Stomoxys calcitrans breed 8C7A2A5H3J4 unplaced genomic scaffold Scaffold357, whole genome shotgun sequence.